rnacentral:lncRNA from 1 species
CUUUUUAUAGUCUUAAAGGUACAUGUGCCAUUCCUAAGAAAAACACUUUUUCCAUAUUUUUCUCAACUCAGCUAUAACUUAGUUCACAUAAUACUAGGGACAAAAUAUAUUUCAAGUAACUUUAGUCAUGCUUAUUUCAUAGUUUUUAUUCUAUUUAUUCAAAAGAAACCCUAUUUUAUGAAUUAUUUUCUUUGUAAAACUGAUGAAAAUGAGAUACAGGAAAUGUUUGGAAUUAGCUGGUUUAACUGUUUGCCACUGGCCAAUAUGUCAGUACUACGCGACAUGAGAAAAGAGCUGUAUUAUCACUAUUCGUGGUCACAAUCCUUAAAGUAAGACAUCAUUUUAAUCGGUAUAGUGUACAGAUUCAGAAAAGCUAAGAAAUUUUAAUAUAUUGAAUAUAAAGUUUUGCCUUAAGGGUGCUAUAAACAGUUUCGUAUAAAAAACUAGGGGUUAUUCCCUGACUAAAAAUAACCAUGGAGGGAAACCCCUGUUUAUUAACUCAAUUGGUGCAAAAGUAUCAUGUUUUUUGUGUUUGAUUGUAAAAAUUAGUUAAUUAGCUUUCAAUUAAAACAGGUUGAAUGAUUGAAAUAUUUUUAAAAAUUAAAUUAACUUUACAUGUUUUGAGGGGAGACAACUUUGUAAACAUCCUGUUUUUUUGGCAGUGAAAAUUGAAAACUUAUUUGCAGCCACUGUAGCUCUUUUCGGAGCAGGAAACCGUACCCUGAAACAAGAUUUUUUAGAAAGGCCAGGUAAAAACCUACAAAUUUCAUGCAGUUUUGAUUAUGAAAAAUGUGCAUGGAUCAUGUCUUCAUGUCUGUGCACAUGACCUGGUUUCAAGUUUUUUCUGUCAAAAUUAGAGCUUUUUUCCCCAUGUUCAUUGGAUGGAAUGUUUUUAAUAUAUUAAAAGUACACAUUAUUUUUAUUUCAUUAUAAACUAGAGAACAUUCUGAUUCCAGUGAUAUCAAGUUUUAUACAAGUAUCUUUAUUAAUCAGUCCACCACUAAGGGUCACUUAUGCAUGGUCCCUAAAAAUGUGACGUCAUAGAAAAAAACUGUUGAUUGCACCC